rnacentral:rRNA from 1 species
UACGUAGGCAGCGAGCGUUGUUCGGAAUUACUGGGCGUAAAGAGUGUGUAGGCGGUGUUCCCAGUCUGUUGUGAAAUCUCCCGGCUUAUCUGGGAGGGUGCAGCGGAAACUAGAAUGCUAGAGGGUGGGAGAGGUAAGCGGAAUUCCUGGUGUAGCGGUGAAAUGCGUAGAUAUCAGGAGGAACACCUGUGGUGUAGACAGCUUACUGGACCACUUCUGACGCUGAGACACGAAAGCGUGGGUAGCAAACAGG